ACUCAAUCGUUGUGAGAAUAAUUUGAAUAAAUAAUCAAGUCUGCGGCUCAUCCAUCACCUUGACUGAUUUCUCUAUUCCCUGUUCACCUCUUCAUGACAUUUGGCAGGUCACUUGAUAUAAAAUAUGCAAACAGCAAUCUGAAAUAGCCCAAAUCUGCUGAAAUAAGCUGGCUGAACCUGUCUUCUUAAAGCAGCUAUGAAUCUUUUGUAUAUUGAGCAGAAAUAUUUGCUUAAGAAUUUCCUCUCAUGAGCUUAAUGUUGUUUUAGACUUGACUCUUUUCCUAUUUUUUCCAGAUCUGUAUAACAUUCAUAGAGCUUGCUACAUACAAACCAACGUUGACUGAACCAUAAUAUAUAAAACAUUACCUCUUAAAUCUCCCACUUCCUAGGAAGGAAGCUGCCAAUGAGAAAAUGGACAAGGGACUGAGAGAGAGAAGAGAAGGGAAAAUGAAAGAGUUUAAGAAAAAAGAGAAAUAGGGGGAAUCAAGUAAAAAUGAAAGAGAGAUAAUUGCAGCAAAUCUUGGACACUCCUAUGAUUCAUCAAAGCAUGCAAAGGCUCACAUGACCCCGGACUCCAUCUUGUGCCUGUAAUUUCCCACAAAUUAAGACCGAGAGCAGCCCCUCCACAUGGGUGAAAACAUAAAAGAUCCUGGAAGCAUAUCCAUUUUACCUCUUUCCUGCUCUGAUCUCUGGACUAGGGAUUUACACUAAAAGGAACGUUCCAACCAAUGGAUUGAGGACCUUCUAUCUAACUUUUGGCAGUUACUAGGAAUUUUACAAGCCAGCAAUUUAUUCCAAUCACUGCUACAAACUUGAUCCAAGAACUUUGCAAUGAUUGUAUGUAUAUGAUCCUUUCAACCAUGUUAACUCUCUCCUUAUUCUGUUCUCUUAUAAAUAAACCUUUGGAUAUUAGAUACUAAAA